AGAUAACAUACAAAUAACUGGUUCGUCAGGAAGCCUUAAACAAAUCAGAGAAAGAAUAUAUGGUUGCAAACUUGUCUGAACCUAUAAAAUAAUUCUGUAAAGUUGUAACAAGUAAAUUAAGGUGACGUUUAUUCUACACUUGCUCCAGUCAUCCGCGUUGUGUAUUAUAGCUUGACAUUUUUGAUGGCAAAUUGCCACUAGUAUACGCACAGGAAGCGACCUCCAGCCGAAACAUUCUCUCUUGGAUUGGCGUCUGGUUGUGGUGAUGGUCAAUAAAGUAACAAUAUGAUGGUUUUAUUUGCAUUGAGUAUAGAGUCUGCUCCUAAGUUUCGGAUUAUUGUCUUUUUGCAGUAUCCAAUCAUAAUUAUUUUUUUCGCAAAGCAUUUCAGUUGCCUUCAGUAAACUCUUUUUAUUAAGCACUUGAAACGCCCAAAUCCAUGAGCAGAAACGCAUCGUAAGCAGAACGCAACGUAAAUUGCAUCUUUCGGGUGAGCUUAACCCUUCUUUGAAUAAAUGUUUGUCCUUUUCUUAGCCAAAACACGCGUCAAGGGGUUAAACAAUAUCAUAGUUGACUUAUCUGUACAUAUUACAUUGCUUCAAUCACAGUUGAUGUUUCCCUGCGCCCAACGCAACAUAUUUUCAUUGUAUGUUUCUGAAAGUAAGGAUUUAGUUGCAGUGCUGCUGCGCUUGAUGUCAGACCUCUGAAGUCCAAAUAUACAUUUAAUCAAUUCCGUCCAAAGGGAGUUCAGACGGCAUUUUGGUGGAACACCUCCGCGUAGAGGUUGGAUAACAUGUUUGGCGAAUCUAGAAGUAUCGUAAGAAGACCGUACCAUCGAGAUCCGUAUGUUCGUGUUCAAGAAAAAAUCGCGGCUGUUGCAUCAACAAUUCAAUCAAAUCCGAGAGUUUCGACUUACAACUUAUCGGCGCAACUUGGAGUUAGUAGACGGUCAUUAAAACGGAUAAUUCAUGAUGACUUAAACCUGUUUCCGUACAAAGUUCAAAUAAUAAGCCGGUUAAACCCUCAAAACUUACCUAUUCGCCUGGAAAUUUGCCAAAAAAUUACUGAAAUGGCCGAAGAAGACAAUAACUUGAUUGACUGUUUAUGUCUAAUGAGGCCCAAUUUGAUCUAAACGGAAAUGUAAGCAAGCAAAAUUGCCGUAUAUGGAGUGAAUCAAAUUCGGAAAUAGUCCCAGGACGGAACUUCACCCAGAAACCAGUCACAUGCAUUGAUUGAAAAAAAAGUAUUACGGUUUUUUGUACCACGAUUCGUGAGCCUCCCUGUAUUUUGCAGUUUUCAUACUCUCGCAACAUGUUGCUACAGUGUAAUAGUUUUGUUCACCUAACGAGUUAUGUAUAUGUAACAUAAAAAAUUUGAUCUGGGUAACGAGACGAGUUGAUAUCCGGGUGACUGUCUGCCUCUCCGUCUGUAUGUGCAAACGAUAAUUUGAUUAAAAUUGAGAUAUUGGAACUUCCCACAUAUUUUACUUAGUACUCAAGACAGGUAGGUAUUGCAGAUGGGCGUAUUAGGUCCCCUGCCACACCCACAAAUUGCCAUUAACUGAAAACCUAUAAAGUGCCAUAACUAAGGACUAAAUAAAGAUACAUUGGCAUAGGGGAUCGCAGUAACAUGAAACACCUGUUGGUCCCCGGCUCCUCCACCUAAAUGAUUUAAUGUACAUAUCUUUCAAACCGAUGAAGCCAACUUCCUGAGAAGAAGUAUUUUUGGCAGUUUUUUACACGCUGCGAAAACAGGUAAAAUCAGAUAAUAACCACGCCCACUCCUCAUAUAACGGUUAUGUU